GCCGACUGGUGUAGUCGUUAGUGACCCUGACUGCUAAACCGGAGGUCCCGGGUUCGAUUCCCGGCUGGGGCA
rnacentral:tRNA from 1 species